GGAUGAUUUACGUUCUUGAUUGAGAUCUGUCUUGAAAAACUAAAAGAAAAAACUGCAACUUUAUCAAAACCUCAAGUACUCAAUUGUAAUUUUGAAAUUAUUUGUCAAAAACCAUUUAUUGAACAAAAACUCCAAUAUUAUACAACACUCAAGGAAUAAUCAAAAAUUGUGAAAAAUGGACACCAUUACAGCCUGUGCUUGAACAAUAUUUUCGUGAGUGUGGUAAAAUGAUAGAUGAAUUAAAAAAUGAAAAAGAAGAUCUAAUUUUACAGCUAUCUACAGCAUACAAUAGAUUGCAAUCACUUAACACAUUUCUUAAAGAUCAAAUGCUUGGGCAUGAAAACGAAAGAGAACAAUAUGAUAUCGAAACUAAAAAAAUAAGAGAGAAAGAACGACAAUCAUUAGAAACAGAAGAUCAAAAACUCAUGUAAUAUAACUUUUUUUUUUUUUUGUUAAUUAAUUUUCUUUUAUAUUACAUUGAAAUUUUUUUAUACUGAGAUGCUUGUUAAUGAACAUCAUGAAGCUGAAGAGAGAUAUAUAGAUUUGAAAACUAAACAUAAAAAAAUAGAAGACCUUUUAAAAUCAGCUAAAAAAGAAAUAAAAUCCUCGAAAGAAACGAUUUUUAGUUUAGAAGAUAGAAUAGAUAUAUUAGUUAAAAAUUGAUUUUAUGGAUGUGAUUAUGUUAUACCAUGUUAUGCUAGUGAU